GACGAACGCUGGCGGCGUGCUUAACACAUGCAAGUCGAACGGAAAGGCCCUGCUUUUGUGGGGUGCUCGAGUGGCGAACGGGUGAGUAACACGUGAGUAACCUGCCCUUGACUUUGGGAUAACUUCAGGAAACUGGGGCUAAUACCGGAUAGGAGCUCCUGCUGCAUGGUGGGGGUUGGAAAGUUUCGGCGGUUGGGGAUGGACUCGCGGCUUAUCAGCUUGUUGGUGGGGUAGUGGCUUACCAAGGCUUUGACGGGUAGCCGGCCUGAGAGGGUGACCGGCCACAUUGGGACUGAGAUACGGCCCAGACUCCUACGGGAGGCAGCAGUGGGGAAUAUUGCACAAUGGGCGGAAGCGUGAUGCAGAAACGCCGCGUGCGGGAUGACGGCCUUCGGGUUGUAAACCGCUUUCGCCUGUGACGAAGCGUGAGUGACGGUAAUGGGUAAAGAAGCACCGGCUAACUACGUG
rnacentral:rRNA from 1 species